UCGGGAAUUUUGGGCAAUGGGCGAAAGCCUGACCCAGCAACGCCGCGUGAAGGAUGAAGUAUUUCGGUAUGUAAACUUCGAAAGAAUAGGAAGAAUAAAUGACGGUACUAUUUAUAAGGUCCGGCUAACUACGUGCCAGCAGCCGCGGUAAUACGUAGGGACCAAGCGUUGUUCGGAUUUACUGGGCGUAAAGGGCGCGUAGGCGGCAAUUCAAGUCAUCUGUGAAAUCUCCGGGCUUAACUCGGAACGGUCAGAUGAUACUGCUUUGCUAGAGUGCAGAAGGGGCAAUCGGAAUUCUUGGUGUAGCGGUGAAAUGCGUAGAUAUCAAGAGGAACACCUGAGGCGAAGACGGGUUGCUGGGCUGACACUGACGCUGAGGCGCGAAAGCCAGGGGAGCAAACGGGAUUAGAUACCCCUGUAGUCCCUGAGCGGGCUGGCAAGGCGCAU
rnacentral:rRNA from 1 species